UGCACGGUGGCGCUGUUGGUAGCGCUGUUGCCUUCUUGCCCCUGGACCUUCUUGCCUUGCAGCAAGAAGGUCCUGGGUUUGACUCCCAGCCGGGGGUCUUUCUGCAU